GAUGAACGCUGGCGGCGUGCCUAAUACAUGCCAGUCGAGCGAACAGACGAGGAGCUUGCUCCUCUGACGUUAGCGGCGGACGGGUGAGUAACACGUGGAUAACCUACCUAUAAGACUGGGAUAACUUCGGGAAACCGGAGCUAAUACCGGAUAAUAUAUUGAACCGCAUGGUUCAAUAGUGAAAGACGGUUUUGCUGUCACUUAUAGAUGGAUCCGCGCCGCAUUAGCUAGUUGGUAAGGUAACGGCUUACCAAGGCGACGAUGCGUAGCCGACCUGAGAGGGUGAUCGGCCACACUGGAACUGAGACACGGUCCAGACUCCUACGGGAGGCAGCAGUAGGGAAUCUUCCGCAAUGGGCGAAAGCCUGACGGAGCAACGCCGCGUGAGUGAUGAAGGUCUUCGGAUCGUAAAACUCUGUUAUUAGGGAAGAACAAAUGUGUAAGUAACUAUGCACGUCUUGACGGUACCUAAUCAGAAAGCCGCGGCUAACUACGUG
rnacentral:rRNA from 1 species